CCAGACUCCUACGGGAGGCAGCAGUGAGGAAUAUUGGUCAAUGGCCGAGAGGCUGAACCAGCCAAGUCGCGUGAGGGAAGAAUGUCCUAUGGAUUGUAAACCUCUUUUGUCAGGGAGCAAAGUCACCCACGUGUGGGUGUUGGAGAGUACCUGAAGAAAAAGCAUCGGCUAACUCCGUGCCAGCAGCCGCGGUAAUACGGAGGAUGCGAGCGUUAUCCGGAUUUAUUGGGUUUAAAGGGUGCGUAGGCGGCAUUAUAAGUUAGUGGUAAAAUAUUGGGGCUUCACCUCACUACGCCAUUAAUACUGUAGAGCUAGAGAACAGACGAGGUAGGCGGAAUAAGUUAAGUAGCGGUGAAAUGCAUAGAUAUAACUUAGAACACCGAUAGCGAAGGCAGUUUACCAGACUGAGUCUGACGCUGAUGCACGAGAGCAUGGGUAGCGAACAGGAUUAGAUACCCCAGUA
rnacentral:rRNA from 1 species